ensembl:snoRNA SNORA70 Small nucleolar RNA SNORA70
GUGCAGCCAAUUAAGCCGACCAGGUUCCUUUCCUUGUAGGGGCCAGGUGUGCAAUGGCUGCAAACAGCAACCUCCUUGGUAGUGUAUGCAGCCUGUUUCAUGUAUGGGCUGCUCUAAGGGACCUUGGAGACAGUU